UGUUAAGGAGUGGAGGGAUUGGGGGGCAGGGUAUGGCAAACUGAUAAACUAAUAGAUGAUGUGUUUGGUUGGAAUUUAUCCUCUGGAGUUUGGGGUUCACCAGUGUACCAUUAUGAGGUAACAAAAGACAGUGUAGUUUAGCUGAAGAUGCCAUUGGGGAGAAAUGAGGUUUCACCUCCCAGUGCUCCUCACUUAUGUCCUGGUGCAGGAUGAAAUGUGAGCUACACUUGUGGAAAAUGGUCUGGAUUAUGAAUUUGUACAGGAUAGAAUGUGGGUAGAGCUAGG